UUCUUCGAUGAGAAAACAUUAGUUGUCCAGCACGGAAUGGGCCAAAAUACCGCACAGCAACAAUCGGGCAGCGUGUGAUGGUUUCAUUGGCCGUUUGAAGGCCAUAAUUCGCGCCAAAGAUGACCAAUUCGAACAAAUCUAAACUUAUUCUAAAAUUUGACGCUAUUUCCGACAUUUUUGCUUUCAUUCAACAAAAUUUA